rnacentral:siRNA from 1 species
AUGUGUUACUUACUAUAUUAUACA